AACGAACGCUGGCGGCAGGCCUAACACAUGUAAGUCGAGCGAGCAUUUCGGUGCUAGCGGCGGACGGGUUAGUAACGCGUGGGAACGUGCCCUUUGCUACGGAAUAGUCCUGGGAAACUGGGGGUAAUACCGUAUGUGCCCUUCGGGGGAAAGAUUUAUCGGCAAAGGAUCGGCCCGCGUUGGAUUAGGUAGUUGGUGGGGUAAUGGCCUACCAAGCCGACGAUCCAUAGCUGGUUUGAGAGGAUGAUCAGCAACACUGGGACUGAGACACGGCCCAGACUCCUACGGGAGGCAGCAGUGGGGAAUCUUAGACAAUGGGCGCAAGCCUGAUCUAGCCAUGCCGCGUGGACGAUGAAGGCCUUAGGGUUGUAAAGUCCUUUCAGCUGGGAAGAUAAUGACGGUACCAGCAGAAGAAGCCCCGGCUAACUCCGUG
rnacentral:rRNA from 1 species